AGUGAACGCUGGCGGUAGGCCUAACACAUGCAAGUCGAACGGCAGCACAGUAAGAGCUUGCUCUUACGGGUGGCGAGUGGCGGACGGGUGAGGAAUACAUCGGAAUCUACUUUUUCGUGGGGGAUAACGCAGGGAAACUUACGCUAAUACCGCAUACGACCUACGGGUGAAAGCAGGGGAUCUUCGGACCUUGCGCGAUUGAAUGAGCCGAUGUCGGAUUAGCUAGUUGGCGGGGUAAAGGCCCACCAAGGCGACGAUCCGUAGCUGGUCUGAGAGGAUGAUCAGCCACACUGGAACUGAGACACGGUCCAGACUCCUACGGGAGGCAGCAGUGGGGAAUAUUGGACAAUGGGCGCAAGCCUGAUCCAGCCAUACCGCGUGGGUGAAGAAGGCCUUCGGGUUGUAAAGCCCUUUUGUUGGGAAAGAAAAGCAGCAGGUUAAUACCCCGCUGUUCUGACGGUACCCAAAGAACAAGCACCGGCUAACUUCGUG
rnacentral:rRNA from 1 species